ACUGUCAAGGGCUUAAGCGGUACCGCACGACCGCAGGGAGGAGGAUAAGGAGCGUCCCUUGACAGUCUAUGCAUC
rnacentral:sRNA from 1 species